AAUACGUUCCCGGGCCUUGUACACACCGCCCGUCACGUCACGAAAGUUGGUAACACCCGAAGCCGACGGCCCAACCCCUUGUGGGAGGGAGUUGUCGAAGGUGGGACCGGCGAUUGGGACG
rnacentral:rRNA from 1 species